AUUCCGGCCUUGAGACUUCCCCUUUGGUGAACACGUCGAGCCUUGGAAACCAGUCUCAUUUUGUUCAUACAUUGGUUCAUCCUUCUUUUAUCUGUUCACCGAAUCUUGAUGCUGGUCUGCUUACAUAAUGCAUUUUGCUUCUGCUCACUGAAUUGAGAUUCAUCAAGACCUCGUUAUUCUGAGAAGUAUGAGGUAUCAGAAGGAAAACUUGUUCAUUUGAAUUUUUUUGGAAAACUUAUGUGAUGAUUCAUAGAAAAUUACCAACGCCCAAUUUGUUGGUUGGUUGUUUCUCUACAUCUAAAAGUGAGCAUCAAUAGUUCUUCCUUCCUCCAGUAAUAGGAUCAGAAAUGGAUUCGAGUAAGAUGACUUUGUAAUCCCUUAGUUUCUCAUUUUGUUGUUAAACUGAUAAGUUUGCUGCAUGUCAGUUCAUUUCUUUCUUUGUCUUUUUUUUUUUUUGAGCAGGUGCAUGUCAGUUUCUGAAGUGCUAUUCUGAGCAUGCUUAUCCCUGCAAGUUUUCUUUCUUCCCUCUGAAAGAGGCACAUAGACAUACUGUACUGAUGCUGCUUUUAGAUAAAUGUUUGCUUAGCCUAGUAUUUAUUCUUCAAUAAAUACUGAUGCUAUUUAUCUGGUCAUCAAAGAGCUUAGAUAAAUAUGUUCAGCAUUGCCUUUUAUGUACAUAUAUUUUCAGAAGAACUUGAGGCGGUUAGUGAAACAUUAAGUAACGUGGAUCAUGUACACUGCACACUUUUUUUUAGAAGUGACAAUUUGAGAGGUUUUACCAAGCAGUUGAACUAGGUAAGCUUAAAGUUUUUGUGAAGGUUGCUAUCAUGCAAGCUGGGAUAGCACUAUAGUGUACUGAUAUUGUCACAUGAGACUGCAUAUCCAAAACCAAAACAAUAUGACAUCAUGCAACCAAAAUAGGUGAUGUAGUACCGGACUUCUGGAGAGUCAUAAUGUUCACUAUCAUCUUCUUACAGUUAUGUAUAAGACUAUUGCGUGCAAGUUACUGCAUACACUGGCAAAUGGAUUAUGAUUAUAAGUUUCAUUCCAACAGUUUUGCUUCUGCAAUUGAAUAGCACAUGAUAUAAUCAAAACUAAUCUAGAUCUCUUAGCUCUAAUCUGAGCUUAUACUUCAAAGUUGGCAGCUGAACUUGUAGUUUAGACUUCAAUUAGUUACUCCCUCUGUUUCUGUAUAGUAUUUUAUUGAUUGAGAUUAAGCAAAAUUAUGUCAAAUUUGUACUCAUUGGAUAGAUCAAUAGUUUGUAUGCCCAAUGAGACAAAAAUGAUCCAAUUUCAUCUAAGUUUACUUUGCUUUUGUGCCUCCUGGGUAUGUGGACAGGGAAAACAUUAUCAAACGGAGGCAGUGGAAGAUUUCUACAUGCUAACUCUUCAGAGGAAACUAAGUUCCAUCCUCCUACAAUAGUGUUGGUGUGUGGGUGAUUCGACUCAGGAAACUAGUGCACAAUGGAGAAUCUGAUCAAACUAUAGCAUGAUUGGGAAAUUCAGUUGCUAGUGCUUCUAAGUUUUGAAAUACAAAUAUUUCUAUUCUUCACUGGUGGCCUUCAUCGCCGAAGCAUCAACAUGUUGCUUAGACUCUCUAUUUGGAUAGCUUAUUUGGGAGCAGACGUGAUAGCAGUUUAUGCCCUUGGCUACCGCUCACAGCAUAAGGAUGCCACCAUUGAAGGAGACACAAUAAGGGGAACCCAGCCACUAGCUUUCGUCUGGGCUCCCUUCCUCCUCAUUCAUCUCGGUGGGCAGGACACUAUCACUGCUUUUGCCAUGGAGGACAACAACUUGUGGUUAAGGCAUUUAUUGAAUCUCAUGGCGCAGGUUGUCCUAUCUUUAUAUGUUUUCUGGAAGUCGAUUAGAAGACACAGCGUGGAACUUCUAGUUUCAGGUAUCUUUGUGUUUGUUGCGGGGAUUAUCAAAUAUGGAGAAAGGACAUGGUCUCUCAAGUGUGGGAGCUUUAAAAGUCUUCAGAGCUCCACUGGAAAUCACUGUAAGCAUCGGUUUCCAGAAUUGAUUGAUGGGGAUGCUAGUUAUUCUAACACUGUCUGGACUGGUCUUCGUUCAAUGCUAGAUGUCCUUAAUUUCUUCUCUGGCCGAACCUUGUUUGUUGGUGAUCCGUUGAGGUUUGGUCGUGAAGGUUUGGGAACUUGGCUACCCAACCAAGUGCUCAAGGUGCUUGGGGUCGAACUUGGUAUGAUGUAUGAUGAUCUCUACACCAAAGCUCUUGUUCUUAGAACAAGGAGUGGCAUUACACUUUGUUGUAUCUCCCAGUUAUCUGCUUUGGUUGCCUUCGCGCUCUUCCUUGCAGGCAAGAAACAUAAGUACAGUAGGGCUGAUAUUGCAAUCACCUAUUUAUUUGUCGGCACAUUCUUCCUGGAACUUUGUGCAUUGUUUAUAUUCUUGAUGUCUCCAUGGACAUGGGCAUGGUUGAAAGCUCGAAAAUACGAGAGGCUUGCCCAGUAUUCUUGGUCUCUUUUUUCCAGCGGCCUCAUUGGAUGGCCAGAGAAGAGGUCAUUGUGGUCAAAUGCAAUGGGACAGUACAACUUGAGGGUUUGGUUUGAGGAGUAUGGCAAACCAAAGUCUUGUGGCCAACGAGUGAUGAACAUGACCAGAAAGUUGGCAACAUCAAUCAGUGUUGAUAAGGAGAAAAUAUUUUGGCUAAGCAAGCUAUUAGACAUGGAGUAUGUCAAGGUGGAUAAGGUGACGGAGUGUCUUGUGGAGGCCACCAGCAACUUUGUUCGUCAACCCUAUGAGUUUCAGAGGACCGGGAAUGGCCAAAUCUUGACCCUCUCUUAAGAUAUGCACAAGUUUUUUACAUCGCAGAUUCUGGUUUUGCUAUUGUCUUUAUGCAUAUGGUUACUGAGCUACACCUGAGCAAAUACCCCUGCCCAGACAUUGAAGCAGAUGUAGCAGAAGAUAUUGAUGUUUUGGUGGAGAUCUGCUAGAAACUUUCCUGCUACAUGAUGCACCUCCUGCUCACCCUCCCUUCCCUGCUGCCUCUCAAUGCUAGCGCGGUGGCUACUGAAUAAGCGGCAAGCUUACAUGUUGGAGAACGAUAUCAUGACAGAAUUGAAAGGGCUUGAUCCCCAGCCGGGCAAGGAAGCACUAGAGGAGAUCAAGGAUCUAUGGGUGCGGCUCACCAUCUAUGCUGCUGCCAAGUCACAGCCGGAGAUGCAUGCAGCACAACUGGCAAGAGGAGGGGAACCCCUUACUUUUGUUUGGCUGCAGCUAGCGCACUAUAACUGUGGGGAAUUCAGGUUCAGUAGGAUCGAGCUUACCCGUGAUCGCUCCAAACAUUCGAUAUUCUAUGUCUUACAACUCAAUGGCAGCUCAGAUGAAAGGAGAUUAACUGAAGAGUGGAUCGAGAGAUUGUUCGCAUGAAGGCUGGAGUUUCAUGAGUUAGUGCAUUGCAGUUGGCAGUGUGUUUGAUCGAAGUUACAACUGAUGCCGUGAUGUACCUUGCCAAUGUCAGACGAUCGGCAUUCCAGGUAUGCAUGGUGGGUGCCCAGGUUUUGCCAUCUGUAGUGAUAAAUCCAAUGGUGGCUGGUACUUAGCCCCCAAUUUGUCUCCUAACCUCAAUUUCACCUUAAUUGUUUAGCUGUAUAGCUGGGUUAAGAAAGGUUUGCAAAAUCUAAAUUCCCUAGUAAAACAUUGCCUAUGUAUAUGCCACUAGAAAGAUCCUUCUGUUUUGUUCUCCCCUCUCAAGUCAAUGUUUUUGUCGAGUGAUGUGAUGUCUUCUUUUCUCUGAUCAUCUUCAACAAUAGUGAGGACUCUUCUGUGUGGCAUCAUCUAGGGUUUCCGGAGCAAAAUAAGCGGGUUUCGUUCACAAGAAUGAGUGCUAGUAUAAAAUCGCUCAACUAGAUUUUACAGAAUGACAUGGUUCCUCAAACCUUAUGCAUCAUUGGGCAUGUAAAAAUAAAUGUCUCAAUUGUUCUCCAAACACAAGGCAGGCUGCCUACUUUGCAAGUACUUGCCGAUGCUUGUCAAGUAUCUAUUGUGGUGAGCUGGGUGGCUGGUGGUCUAAUGAAGGCACAAUUGAAACAUCGCCUUUACUGAAUGAACUACCAACUCUCCAACGCAGAGUGCCCUUGCCUACACAUUGGUGGUGACCAUCUGGUCUAAAUUAAAGAUCAGGAUGUAGACACUGGACACACCUUGCCUUUACUUCUGAGCUAGCAAAGCUUCAUCACUGGCAACUGCUGGACAGGGACAUACCAAUAUGCCCGGCAUGGUACCAGAGGGAGGGGCCACUCUCUUGGCUUACUGACAUUUAUGCCGCCAUACCUCCAUCUUUCAUCUCUGUUGCAGGCAGGAUUUUACUUGCUUAGAUCAUCCAGGAGUAGUGAACUUGUUUUUGUUUCCAAGAAAGUUAAACUCAGCCUUUGAAUAGUGUUCGCGGAAACAAGUAUAUGUCAAAUUCCUGUAAAUUAAACAUCAUUUGAAUUCUCAGUUUCCAGGGUAAAAUUUGAAUUGUAGACACA